UACGUAGGGGGCUAGCGUUGUCCGGAAUCAUUGGGCGUAAAGAGCGCGUAGGCGGCCAGAUAAGUCCGGUGUGAAAGUCAGAGGCUCAACCUUUGAAUGCCGCUGGAAACUGUCUGGCUAGAGUCCGGAAGGGGCGAGUGGAAUUCCUGGUGUAGCGGUGAAAUGCGCAGAUAUCAGGAGGAACACCAAUGGCGAAGGCAGCUCGCUGGAACGGUACUGACGUUGAGGCGCGAAAGCUAGGGGAGCAAACGGG
rnacentral:rRNA from 1 species